rnacentral:rRNA from 1 species
UUCUAGAUCAAGACCACAUUGAACACACCCAAUCUCACGUCAUUUUGGAAGCUAAGCAGGGUCAGAUCUGGUUCCUAUUCAGAUGGAAGACCACCAGGAAAUACCCAGGAUCUUCCAA